rnacentral:lncRNA from 1 species
UUAUAAUACAUUUAUUGCAUUAAAAUUCAAUUAGCAAGUGUCAGUUAAAGCUUACAUGGCGGGAGUUAGAUAAACAGAGAUGCCAGCAAGUCAAACCUUCAUAGGCACACCCUUAUUCCUUUCAUUUUUCCUAACAGACUCGGGCAGUCACGUUAUUCAGGAAUAGAAAUUAAUGGCACCUCUGACUGGAGAGAAGCUAUAAAUCUUGAUUUACAUAAGCUAAGGAUUUGGUCCCUGCUGUAGAAAACCUUUCCUUUCCAAUUCUGUGCUUUACUCUUCAUUAUAAAUAACAUAUCAGAAAUAAAAUAAGAAUUAAAAAAACCCCCAAACAAACAAAACCAAAGCCACAAUGCAAUGAAAUAAAGAUUUCUAACUCAUGUAGGGCCACAACAUGAACACUUAAGAACAGGGACAUGACCAUAAACAUCAGAAAACAAGCUCCAAGGUGAGAGUUGAGGGACGAUGCGCGAUCUUCACAAGGCAUACCUCAAGCUCUGAAAACUUACUUCCACAACAGAUUUCAAACAACUGCAUCCUUCACAGCUGGUUUUAUUCAGGAUUUGAAGCAUUAUGUGAUUGUAGAUUAGAUGCCCAUCUAGGGGUAAAUUGCACUGAUAAAUCAUGAUUUAGACAUUUUUAUGGCCAUAGGUAAGAAGUGCACCUCACGGUACUAUACCGCUGGAAAUUCUCAGUCCUUUUGGAUGUAUUUUUGCAAUUAGUAAUGCUUCAAUAGUGAAGAGGGCAGCACAGGAAUGCUUUUGUGUCAAUGCAGAAAACAGGUAUGUGCCUAAAAGUACACAUAUGGUAAAUAAUGGUAGUCUUCAGUGUUCUUCUAUGUAAAGGGAAAUAUAAAAGGAGGUAUUAGCUAGUAAGAGAGAAGUUUGUAACUUCUGUCUGCUGCUGCUGCACAAUGACCCAUGAUUUUGUGCACUGAACCGAAGCUUUCUGAGUCCCCUUCAAGAAAAACCAGACACUUCUAGUUCUUAUUAUGUGCAGUCAACACAGCUCAAAGUUACAAGCUGUCUUACACAUGAUAGUAAAAUAUUGGGUACAGAGGUGGCCGUGAAGCAAAGGAGACAGACAACACUGGCGACAGCAAGUUAAUUAUGAUUUAUACUGGAAAUAACCACAUGAAACUAUGAAAUAAUAAAGAAGCCACAAGGUGUCAGCACUGGCCUGUGUAGUUAGAAAACAACUCUCUAUCCCUUGUUAUAACCUCUGUUACUAACGUUUGUGAAUGUUGAGGUUAAUUUCAUUUCAUUAAUUCACCCCAGUUUAAUGACAAAAUAAUAUCCUCUUCAGAAAAUGCCUUACCAAUCUGUCAAAUGUUACAUAGCACAAGACAAUAUAAUUUCAGACCCUCUGUUGAAUAUAUUUAAGGCAUCUAUUGAUCAUGGUCGCUUGGACAGUGUGCAAGUAGCUGACACACAUGAGAGCCAUCCUUUCUUGCUGCCUGAAGCUACAGGGUAGCAAUACGACAAACAACAAAUGGAGCACAUGGUGUAAAAGCAAUAAAUCUUUUGAUGCCUUGAGCCAACUCUUCUGCUCAAUUCCACCAGCAAGGAGCUAAAAUACCUGCUCAAACCUGUGAGAUCUCCAAAAUUGAAGCAUCCCUGUUUGAGACUUCUACAGCUGCUUUUGCUUGCUGAGUUUCACGGGAUUUCCUUCUCUGUUGCCAAUCUCUAAUACCAUUUAAUUUUCUUUUCUGCAAAAGCCUGUUCUCACUGCUUCAGGAGCUGCUCUGUCUGGCCAAGCAAUAGGGCAGUGAUGACAGUAGAUAAAGAACACCCAGAUUUCUGAUAUUGGCAACUUGAUGAUAGUUGCUUCAAAUACAUUACAAAAACACAGCGUAGAGGUCAUCACAGAAACCUCUACAUUUCUCUUAUA